rnacentral:rRNA from 1 species
AUUGAACGCUGGCGGCAGGCCUAACACAUGCAAGUCGAACGGUAACAGGAAGAAGCUUGCUUCUUUGCUGACGAGUGGCGGACGGGUGAGUAAUGUCUGGGAAACUGCCUGAUGGAGGGGGAUAACUACUGGAAACGGUAGCUAAUACCGCAUAACGUCGCAAGACCAAAGAGGGGGACCUUCGGGCCUCUUGCCAUCGGAUGUGCCCAGAUGGGAUUAGCUAGUAGGUGGGGUAACGGCUCACCUAGGCGACGAUCCCUAGCUGGUCUGAGAGGAUGACCAGCCACACUGGAACUGAGACACGGUCCAGACUCCUACGGGAGGCAGCAGUGGGGAAUAUUGCACAAUGGGCGCAAGCCUGAUGCAGCCAUGCCGCGUGUAUGAGGAAGGCCUUCGGGUUGUAAAGUACUGUCAGCGGGGAGGAAGGGAGUAAAGUUAAUACCUUUGCUCAUUGACGUUACCCGCAGAAGAAGCACCGGCUAACUCCGUG